rnacentral:rRNA from 1 species
UAGGGAAUCUUCGGCAAUGGGGGGAACCCUGACCGAGCAACGCCGCGUGAGUGAAGAAGGUUUUCGGAUCGUAAAGCUCUGUUGUUAAGGAAGAACGAGUGUGAGAAUGGAAAGUUCAUGCUGUGACGGUACUUAACCAGAAAGGGACGGCUAACUACGUGCCAGCAGCCGCGGUAAUACGUAGGUCCCGAGCGUUGUCCGGACUUAUUGGGCGUAAAGCGAGCGCAGGCGGUUAGAAAAGUCUGAAGUGAAAGGCAGUGGCUCAACCAUUGUAGGCUUUGGAAACUGUUUAACUUGAGUGCAGAAGGGGAGAGUGGAAUUCCAUGUGUAGCGAUGAAAUGCGUAGAUAUAUGGAGGAACACCGGUGGCGAAAGCGGCUCUCUGGUCUGUAACUGACGCUGAGGCUCGAAAGCGUGGGGAGCGAACAGG